rnacentral:rRNA from 1 species
UACGUAGGGGGCAAGCGUUGUCCGGAAUCAUUGGGCGUAAAGCGCGUGUAGGCGGCUUGAUAAGUCUGCUCUGAAAGCCCGGGGCUCAACCCUGGGAGGCGGGUGGAUACUGUCGAGCUCGAGUCCGGAAGAGGCGAGUGGAAUUCCUGGUGUAGCGGUGAAAUGCGCAGAUAUCAGGAGGAACACCAAUGGCGAAGGCAGCUCGCUGGGACGGUACUGACGCUGAGACGCGAAAGCUAGGGGAGCAAACGGG